UUUCUAACUGUAUUUUUGUGGAAGCGAAAAAACGAACAGAUAGAAAGGAAAGAGGAGAAGGAGGAAGGGGAGGCGGGGUUGCAGGAAAGAGAGAAGCGAGAGAAUUAUUUGAACGCGUGCCCCUACAUAUGAAUGCGACUAGCUGGGCGGUGGGGCCCGCCGCUUGUGCUGAUACGCGGGGAAGGCGCGCGCAACAACCGCGAAAUUCAAAUACCUGCAGUGCAGCACACAGCAGCCUGCGAAGAAGAAAAAGGAUAAGAAGACCGACUCGAAAGAGUUGUGAGCGCUGCGUACGCGCGUCGCGGCCUUCGAACAGUGAGUGCUGCAGUGAGUGUGUGUGUGCGUGCUGUGUGAGCGAUUGAUCGACGUACGGAGAGACAGCAGGC
ensembl:ncRNA C08B11.11 ncRNA